GCCUAUGAUGGAUGUAACUCAGGCGGUAGAGCUUGAGACUCAAGGUCGUGGGUUCGAGCCUCAUGUUGGGCA